AUUGAACGCUGGCGGCAGGCCUAACACAUGCAAGUCGAGCGAGUGGCGGACGGGUGAGUAAUGUAUGGGGAACUGCCUGAUUGCGGGGGAUAACUACUGGAAACGGUGGCUAAUACCGCAUACUAUCGGAUGAACCCAUAUGGGAUUAGCUAGUAGGUGGGGUAAAGGCUCACCUAGGCGACGAUCUCUAGCUGGUCUGAGAGGAUGAUCAGCCACACUGGAACUGAGACACGGCCCAGACUCCUACGGGAGGCAGCAGUGGGGAAUAUUGCACAAUGGGCGCAAGCCUGAUGCAGCCAUGCCGCGUGUAUGAAGAAGGCCUUAGGGUUGUAAAGUACUUUCAGCGGGGAGGCGUUACCCGCAGAAGAAGCACCGGCUAACUCCGUGCCAGCCGCCGCGGUAAUAC
rnacentral:rRNA from 1 species